AUACGUAGGGGGCGAGCGUUGUCCGGAAUGAUUGGGCGUAAAGGGCGCGUAGGCGGCGCGGUAAGUCUGGAGUGAAAGUCCUGCUUUCAAGGUGGGAAUUGCUUUGGAUACUGCCGCGCUUGAGUGCAGGAGAGGUUAUCGGAAUUCCCGGUGUAGCGGUGAAAUGCGUAGAGAUCGGGAGGAACACCAGUGGCGAAGGCGGGUAACUGGACUGCAACUGACGCUGAGGCGCGAAAGUGUGGGGAGCAAACAGGAUUAGAUACCCUGGUAGUCCACGCUGUAAACGAUGAAUGCUAGGUGUAGGGGGUAUCGACCCCUCCUGUGCCGGAGUAAACGCAAUAAGCAUUCCGCCUGGGGAGUACGGCCGCAAGGUUGAAACUCAAAUGAAUUGACGGGG
rnacentral:rRNA from 1 species